CCCUAGCCCUGAUGGAAAUGGAAAGCCUCGAUGGAAUAAACCUAUUUUUUCCUGAGCUGGCAGAGCGACCUCCUCAGCCCCCGCCCCUCUCCAAAAGAAAGGGUAGCCAAAUACCCCUUGCCAGAACAAUGGAAAAAAAGGUUUAUGACGGAGAGCUUGUAAUGGACUGCAGGAAAUAAC
rnacentral:sRNA from 1 species